UGUGGUGCACCUUCCAUGAGAAGUCCAUGGUGAAGGCUGCCUGUCAGAAGACCCUGACUGACCUGAAGCUGGACUACCUGGACCUCUACCUAAUUCACUGGCCAAUGGGUCUGACGGGCCUUGAAUCGGAUGCGUGCGGCAAUAGGAAGCCAGUGGAGGCCAAUGAGGAGCGGGGUGACAUGAGCCGACCUGGGCUGACUGGUGAUCAGGCGGGCUGCAGCAUUCUGGACCAGGUGGAGGGGCUUGAUGGCACAAGCUGGGAGACCGGCUGGAGACCGGCUAGGAGGGAGUUGCAGUAAUCCAGGCGGGAAAUGAAGAGCGCCUGGACUAGGAGCUGGGUGGCUUUCUCUGUGAGGAGAUGACGGAUACAGCGUAUAUUGUAACUGAGGGCUGAGACAGAGGAAUUUCCUCUAGACAGCGAGGGGCUCACCGUGUCAGAUGGCACCAGCUUUUUGGAUACUUGGGAGGGUAUGGAGGAGCUGGUAGAUGCUGGGAUGGUCAAGGCCAUUGGAGUCUCCAACUUCAACCAUGAACAGAUUGAGGCCUUAUUGAACAAACCGGGCCUGAAGUACAAACCUGCCAACAACCAGGUAGAGACACAUUAUUCUUUUAACAUUACAGAAUUUGAAAACGGUUAUUUGUAAAUUUGCUAUCAUUUUUUUUUCCCAGCAGCAGGACAUGGGGUUGUAUGUUCAAAUAUAUCAAUAUAUCACAGGGCCAGUCCCUACUAGGCCUUUAUAAUCACUUCACAUGGGCUUUAUUUCUUAAUUUUCUGUGAGUGAUUUUGAUCUUUAUGUGUGUGAGAUAUGUGUGUAUGUAUAAACUACUGGAUGCCUAAAAUUUCCCUUGGGAUGAAUAAAGUAUCUAUCUAUCUAUCUAUCUAUAAAAUACAGACAUGUGCACACAUCUGAUUCCUGGAAUUUUACUACAGCUGAUUCGUGCCUCUUAAGCUGAUUAUUCAAUGUCCAUGCCACCAUCUUGUUCACGCAUACCAUAAAGCAAUUCAUCCAUGACUCGUAUGCGUUUACCACUUGGUAAGGCUGAUUUGUGGUAGGUGAACAACACUUCAAGUGACUCUUAACACUCCCUGAAACCAAAUUGGGCAAUAUAGCAAAAUAGGAAUAUUCUGCUGGUAGUAGUGUUAAGGAAAAAAAAUAGGUUCACAAGAUAAUAGUCAUUGCACUUAUUUGCCUCUAAGGAAGGCUUCAGAAAAACUCAAAUCCUUGCAGCGCACUAGAAAUUCAGCAGUGGCAGUGCGCUGUGGCAGCCUCUUCGUAGCUCGAAUGUUGGGUCAUACUGUAUUUUGGCUUGCGGUAUAGCUGGAGCCAGGCUUACUGAAGGGAAAUGAGCCUGUCUUCACAGUGUAGUGACCCAUUUCAAACGAGUCUCACUAUACCUCAAAGUAUUCAUGUUUGUGUAGAUUCGUUUUUUUGUUUUAUUUAGUGCGUAUUUUUUGAUCAACUCAUAUUGCAAAGAGGGCCUGAUGAUCCUCUCCAUACCAUCCAUCCAUUCAUCCAUUAUCCUAAUCCGCUUGUCCUGAACAGGGUCACAGGGGGGCUGGAGCCUAUCCCAGCAUACAUUGGGCGAAAGGCAGGAAUACACCCUGGCCAUGUCGCCAGUCCAUCGCAGGGCACACACAUCAUUCACUCACACACUCAUACCUACGGGCAAUUUAGACUCUCCAAUCAGCCUAUCCUGCAUGUCUUUGGACUGUGGGAGGAAACUGGAAUACCCGGAGGAAACCCACGCAGACACGGGGAGAACAUGGAAACUCCGCACAGAGAGGCCCCGGCCGACAGGGAUUCGAACCCAGGACCUCCUUGCUGUGAGGCGGCAGUGCUACCCACUGCACCGUGCUAUCCAUACCAAAUGACUAAAUUCAGUUGCCUAGCUCAGAGGCACAAGGGCCUUAUUGACAGUGGCAGACCAGCGCCAGUAAAAGCCACCAUGUCCCCCAGGGCAACACAGUAAUGCAGGGGUGUGAUUAUAAAACAAUGUCUCCAUUAAAUCAGGUUAGUGUUUUUCUUAUCCUUUACACACUAUAUUGAUAGUAUUAGACUUUUAUUGAUCUAUAUCCAAUAAUGUUGGACUCUAGCUGGAUUAGGGUUGAGCUAUAAUUAGAUUACAUUUUUCUUAAUAUCUUGUACCCGAGUGCUUAUUAUUCUUAGUUUGGUCUUUUGCUUGUUUCUGUUUUUUGCGAUAAUUAAAUUUACAGGGUUGCAUAUGAGCCCAUUGCAUUAUAUUUUGUAUUAUAUGUUGGUUUCCCAAUACUGGCAUCAGAGUGAACAGAGGUGACAGAGGAGAGGCAUCAGCUUGUGCUGUGUGUUCUCUGUUCAGAUUGAAUGCCACCCCUACCUGACCCGGGAGAAGCUGAUCAACUACUGUCACUCCAAAAGCAUCUCUGUCACAGCAUACAGCCCCCUGGGCUCUCCAGACAGACCAUGUUUUUUUACUUCUUCAGGGCCAAACCAGAGGACCCCUCUCUGCUGAAUGAUCCAAUUCUCAAGGCUAUUGCUGAAAAGCACAACAAGAGCACAGCACAGGUUUUGAUCCGGUUCCAGGUUCAGAGGAAUGUGAUUGUCAUUCCAAAGUCGAUCACAGCUCACCGCAUCCAGGCAAACUUCCAGGUUUUUGAUUUUGAACUAAGUGAGGAGGAAAGGAAGACCAUCCUAGGGUUCAACAGGGACUUUAGAUGCUUUCCCAUGCUUUCGAGUGUGAAUCACAAGGACUUUCCCUUCAAUGCAGAAUUCUGAGGCCAAUGAGAGCAUCAAAUAAUUGGUCUUUCUCCACAUCUGCUCUCCUUUUGUUUCUCCGUGCUAAUCUCACUCUUGAAAUGUUGUCCCAU